rnacentral:rRNA from 1 species
GACAGAGGGUGCGAACGUUGUUCGGAAUUACUGGGCGUAAAGGGCGCGUAGGCGGCCAGCGCAAGUCAGUUGUGAAAUCUCCGGGCUUAACUCGGAACGGUCAACUGAUACUGCGCGGCUAGAGUGCAGAAGGGGCAACUGGAAUUCCUGGUGUAGCGGUGAAAUGCGCAGAUAUCGGGAGGAACACCGGUGGCGAAGGCGGUUCUCUGGGCCUUACCUGACGCUGAGGAGCGAAAGCGUGGGGAGCGAACGGG